rnacentral:rRNA from 1 species
AGUGAACGCUGGCGGUAGGCCUAACACAUGCAAGUCGAACGGCAGCACAGUAAGAGCUUGCUCUUACGGGUGGCGAGUGGCGGACGGGUGAGGAAUACAUCGGAAUCUACUUUUUCGUGGGGGAUAACGUAGGGAAACUUACGCUAAUACCGCAUACGACCUACGGGUGAAAGCAGGGGAUCUUCGGACCUUGCGCGAUUGAAUGAGCCGAUGCCGGAUUAGCUAGUUGGCGGGGUAAAGGCCCACCAAGGCGACGAUCCGUAGCUGGUCUGAGAGGAUGAUCAGCCACACUGGAACUGAGACACGUUCCAGACUCCGACGGGAGGCAGCAGUGGGGAAUAUUGGACAAUGGGCGCAAGCCUGAUCCAGCCAUACCGCGUGGGUGAAGAAGGCCUUCGGGUUGUAAAGCCCUUUUGUUGGGAAAGAAAAGCAGCAGGUUAAUACCCCGCUGUUCUGACGGUACCCAAAGAAUAAGCACCGGCUAACUUCGUG